rnacentral:snRNA from 1 species
GUGCUUGCUUUGGCAGCACGUAUACUAAACUUGGAACGAUACAGAGAAGAUUAGCACGGCCCCUGCGCAAGGAUGACACGCACAUUCGUGAAGCGUUCCAUCUUUAC